rnacentral:rRNA from 1 species
AUUGACGCUGCCGCUGAGCUUGACACAUGCUGGUCGGAACAAGGGUGGCCAUUCGAUUUAGCCUGGAGUGUUUUACGGCGGAGCUCAGACAUCCGACCGUACCUGGCUGGGGGGGAUAACUACUCGAAAGAGUGGCUAAUACCGCAUACGCCCUACGGGGGAAAGGGGGGGAUCGCAAGACCUCUCACUAUUAGAGCGGCCGAUAUCGGAUUAGCUAGUUGGUGAGGUAAAGGCUCACCAAGGCGACGAUCCGUAGCUGGUUUGAGAGGACGACCAGCCACACUGGGACUGAGACACGGCCCAGACUCCUACGGGAGGCAGCAGUGGGGAAUUUUGGACAAUGGGGGCAACCCUGAUCCAGCCAUUCCGCGUGUGCGAUGAAGGCCUUCGGGUUGUAAAGCACUUUUGGCAGGAAAGAAAUCGCACCGAUUAAUACUUGGUGUGGAUGACGGUACCUGCAGAAUAAGC